GCCGACGUAGCUCAAUAGGUAGAGCUUCUGAUUUGUAAUCAGGGGGUUGCUGGUUCAAGUCCGGCCGUCGGCUCCA
rnacentral:tRNA from 1 species